rnacentral:rRNA from 1 species
CACGUAGGGUGCGAGCGUUGUCCGGAAUUAUUGGGCGUAAAGAGCUCGUAGGCGGUUCGGCAAGUCGGGUGUGAAAUUUCGAGGCUCAACCUCGAAACGCCACUCGAUACUGCUGUGACUGGAGUCCGGUAGAGGAGUGCGGAAUUCCUGGUGUAGCGGUGAAAUGCGCAGAUAUCAGGAGGAACACCGGUGGCGAAGGCGGGUCUCGUGGGCAACAACGUGACGCUGGAGGAGCGAAAGCGUGGGGAG